GUCCUUUUGAUUUUUAUAUAAGGUCGAACCUGCCCAAUGAUUUAGUUUAAUGGCCGCAGUAUACUAACUGUGCAAAGGUAGCAUAAUCAUUUGUCUUUUAAUUGAAGGCUUGUAUGAAUGGUUUGACGAGAUGCAUACUUUCUUUACUUUAUUUUGGUGAAUUUAAUUUUUAAGUUAAAAAGCUUAAAUUUUUUUGUGGGACGAGAAGACCCUAUAGAACUUUAUAAUAAAUACUUUGUUUUAUUUAUUGUUUAUUAAUAUUUAAUAUUGUCUUUUUUAUUUCGUUGGGGUGACGUGAAAAAUUAUUUAACUUUUCAUUAUUAAUUCAUUAAUUUAUGUUUAUUUGAUCCAUUAUUAUUGAUUAAAAGAUUAAGUUACCUUAGGGAUAACAGCGUAAUUCUUUUGGAGAGUUCUUAUCGAUAAAAGAGUUUGCGACCUCGAUGUUGGAUUAAAAUAAGUAUUAGGUGUAGUCGCUUAAUUACUAAGUCUGUUCGACUUUUAAAAUUUUACA
rnacentral:rRNA from 1 species